UACGGAGGAUGCGAGCGUUAUUCGGAAUCAUUGGGUUUAAAGGGUCUGUAGGCGGGCUAUUAAGUCAGGGGUGAAAGGUUUCAGCUUAACUGAGAAAUUGCCUUUGAUACUGGUAGUCUUGAAUAUCUGUGAAGUUCUUGGAAUGUGUAGUGUAGCGGUGAAAUGCUUAGAUAUUACACAGAACACCGAUUGCGGAGGCAGGGGACUAACAGACGAUUGACGCUGAGAGACGAAAGCGUGGGGAGCGAACAGG
rnacentral:rRNA from 2 species